AUCGCUUCUCGGCCUUUUGGCUAAGAUCAAGUGUAGUAUCUGUUCUUAUCAGUUUAAUAUCUGAUACGUCCCCUACCCGGGGACCAUAUAUUAAAUAGAUUUUUGGAACAGGGAGAUGGAAUAGGGACUUGCUUCGUCCACUCCACGCAUCGACCUGGUAUUGCAGUAUCUCCAGGAACGGUGCACUCCCU
rnacentral:snRNA from 1 species